rnacentral:rRNA from 1 species
AUUGAACGCUGGCGGCAGGCCUAACACAUGCAAGUCGAGCGGAUGAAGGGAGCUUGCUCCUGGAUUCAGCGGCGGACGGGUGAGUAAUGCCUAGGAAUCUGCCUGGUAGUGGGGGAUAACGUCCGGAAACGGGCGCUAAUACCGCAUACGUCCUGAGGGAGAAAGUGGGGGAUCUUCGGACCUCACGCUAUCAGAUGAGCCUAGGUCGGAUUAGCUAGUUGUGGGGUAAAGGCCUACCAAGGCGACGAUCCGUAACUGGUCUGAGAGGAUGAUCAGUCACACUGGAACUGAGACACGGUCCAGACUCCUACGGGAGGCAGCAGUGGGGAAUAUUGGACAAAGGGCGAAAGCCUGAUCCAGCCAUGCCGCGUGUGUGAAGAAGGUCUUCGGAUUGUAAAGCACUUUAAGUUGGGAGGAAGGGCAGUAAGUUAAUACCUUGCUGUUUUGACGUUACCAACAGAAUAAGCACCGGCUAACUUCGUG